AGAGUUUGAUCAUGGCUCAGAUUGAACGCUGGCGGCAUGCCUUACACAUGCAAGUCGAACGGCAGCACGGGGGCAACCCUGGUGGCGAGUGGCGAACGGGUGAGUAACGCAUCGGAAUGUUCCCAGUAGUGGGGGAUAACUAGUCGAAAGAUUAGCUAAUACCGCAUACGCACUGAGGUGGAAAGCGGGGGAUCGCAAGACCUCGCGCUAUUGGAGCAGCCGAUGUCCGAUUAGGUAGUUGGUGGGGUAAAGGCCUACCAAGCCUGCGAUCGGUAACUGGUCUGAGAGGACGACCAGUCACACUGGGACUGAGACACGGCCCAGACUCCUACGGGAGGCAGCAGUGGGGAAUUUUGGACAAUGGGCGCAAGCCUGAUCCAGCAAUGCCGCGUGUGUGAAGAAGGCCUUCGGGUUGUAAAGCACUUUUGGCGGGAGCGAAACGGCGUUUGCUAAUACCAGACGCUAAUGACGGUACCCGCAGAAUAAGCACCGGCUAACUACGUG
rnacentral:rRNA from 1 species